AGCCUACGGGAGGCAGCGGUGGGGAAUAUUGCACAAUGGGGGAAACCCUGAUGCAGCGACGCCGCGUGGGCGAGGAAGUACCUCGGUAUGUAAAGCCCUAUCAGCAGGGAAGAAACAGGACAGUACCUGACUAAGAAGCCCCGGCUAACUACGUGCCAGCAGCCGCGGUAAUACGUAGGGGGCGAGCGUUAUCCGGAUUUAUUGGGCGUAAAGCGCGCGUAGGCGGCGCGUCAAGCGGGACCUCUAACCCCGGGGCUCAACCCCGGGCCGGGUCCCGGACUGGCGCGCUCGAGUGCGGUAGAGGC
rnacentral:rRNA from 1 species